GCAGAGGUGGCAGAGUGGUCAAACGCGCUAGCCUGCUAAGCUAGAGUCUCACGACUACACGGGUUCGAAUCCCGUCCUCUGCG
rnacentral:tRNA from 1 species